rnacentral:rRNA from 1 species
GCGGGACACGUGGUAUCCUGUCUGAAUAUGGGGGGACCAUCCUCCAAGGCUAAAUACUCCUGACUGACCGAUAGUGAACCAGUACCGUGAGGGAAAGGCGAAAAGAACCCCGGCGAGGGGAGUGAAAAAGAACCUGAAACCGUGUACGUACAAGCAGUGGGAGCACGCUUAGGCGUGUGACUGCGUACCUUUUGUAUAAUGGGUCAGCGACUUAUAUUCUGUAGCAAGGUUAACCGAAUAGGGGAGCCGAAGGGAAACCGAGUCUUAACUGGGCGUUAAGUUGCAGGGUAUAGACCCGAAACCCGGUGAUCUAGCCAUGGGCAGGUUGAAGGUUGGGUAACACUAACUGGAGGACCGAACCGACUAAUGUUGAAAAAUUAGCGGAUGACUUGUGGCUGGGGGUGAAAGGCCAAUCAAACCGGGAGAUAGCUGGUUCUCCCCGAAAGCUAUUUAGGUAGCGCCUCGUGAAUUCAUCUCCGGGGGUAGAGCACUGUUUCGGCAAGGGGGUCAUCCCGACUUACCAACCCGAUGCAAACUGCGAAUACCGGAGAAUGUUAUCACGGGAGACACACGGCGGGUGCUAACGUCCGUCGUGAAGAGGGAAACAACCCAGACCGCCAGCUAAGGUCCCAAAGUCAUGGUUAAGUGGGAAACGAUGUGGGAAGGCCCAGACAGCCAGGAUGUUGGCUUAGAAGCAGCCAUCAUUUAAAGAAAGCGUAAUAGCUCACUGGUCGAGUCGGCCUGCGCGGAAGAUGUAACGGGGCUAAACCAUGCAC